rnacentral:misc_RNA from 1 species
GAUGAAGAACGUAGCGAAAUGCGAUACUUGGUGUGAAUUGCAGAAUCCCGUGAACCAUCGAGUCUUUGAACGCAAGUUGCGCCCGAAGCCAUCAGGUUGAGGGCACGUCUGCCUGGGCGUCACAUAUCGUUGCCCAAUGCCUAUUGCAGUGCAAUAGGAAUUUCUAGGGCGAAUGAUGGCUUCCCGUGAGCGUUGUUGCCUCGCGGUUGGUUGAAAAUCGAGUCCUUGGUAGGGUGUGCCAUGGUAGAUGGUGGUCGAGUUAGAACGAUACCGAUCAUGUGCAUGCUCCCCAAAAUAUGGCCUCUAUGACCCACACGCGUCUUUUGACGCUCAUGACGAGACCUCAGGUCACGCGGGGCUACCCGCUGAAUUUAAGCAUAUCAAUAAGCGGAGGA